GUUAGCGAAAACCAAAUACUUUGGCUUCGGAGCUUCUAGACAAUUGACAGUUAUAAAUUAUUGGGGACUUAGAAAUUUUACACCCGUAUUUUGAAUUUCUCUAAUAGAUGGUUUGUUUAAACCCCAAAUUUUCCUUUAAGGUUUUUUCUUAUUAAUUGAAAACAAUCAUUUUUGUUUAAGAAUAUUUUUAUUAUGUGAAAUAUUUAUGUUUUUCUUUGGUAGUAGGUACCGUCUAUUUAUGAACCUUGGUAGGUACCUACUGUUUUUGAUGUGGUAAUAAUAUAACUUUCAUAAUAUGGUUAAUUAUUUGACUGUAAUUUAUAACUUUCCUAUGGUUAAUUAUUUUAUAGAGAAAUUCAAAAUACUGGUAAAAUUGUUAAGUCCCCAAGAGGCCAAGAGGUACCGAACUAUAAGUAACAUAUCCUAUACAUACAUAUAGGUACAUAUUAUUAUAAGAUAAUCUACAAAGCGAAGUGAGGUUUUUCAUUUACUGCCUUAAACUCAAUGAUGUAUAAGUUGUAUAUGAUGUAUAAGUAGUAUAGGUACAAUAUAUAUACUUUUCAAAUUGCCCGCCAAAUCCAGAGAACUGUCAAUUGUCUAGAAGCUCCGAAGCAAAGUAUUUGGUUUUCUCUAGACGCAAGUC